rnacentral:rRNA from 1 species
AGAGUUUGAUCAUGGCUCAGGACGAACGCUGGCGGCGUGCCUAAUACAUGCAAGUAGAACGCUGAAGAGAGGAGCUUGCUCUUCUUGGAUGAGUUGCGAACGGGUGAGUAACGCGUAGGUAACCUGCCUUGUAGCGGGGGAUAACUAUUGGAAACGAUAGCUAAUACCGCAUAACAAUGGAUGACACAUGUCAUUUAUUUGAAAGGGGCAAUUGUUCCACUACAAGAUGGACCUGCGUUGUAUUAGCUAGUAGGUGAGGUAAUGGCUCACCUAGGCGACGAUACAUAGCCGACCUGAGGGGGUGAUCGGCCACACUGGGACUGAGACACGGCCCAGACUCCUACGGGGGGCAGCAGUAGGGAAUCUUCGGCAAUGGGGGCAACCCUGACCGAGCAACGCCGCGUGAGUGAAGAAGGUUUUCGGAUCGUAAAGCUCUGUUGUAAGUCAAGAACGGGUGUGAGAGUGGAAAGUUCACACUGUGACGGUAGCUUACCAGAAAGGGACGGCUAACUACGUGCCAGCAGCCGCGGUAAUACGUAGGUCCCGAGCGUUGUCCGGAUUUAUUGGGCGUAAAGCGAGCGCAGGCGGUUUGAUAAGUCUGAAGUUAAAGGCUGUGGCUCAACCAUAGUUCGCUUUGGAAACUGUCAAACUUGAGUGCAGAAGGGGAGAGUGGAAUUCCAUGUGUAGCGGUGAAAUGCGUAGAUAUAUGGAGGAACACCGGUGGCGAAAGCGGCUCUCUGGUCUGUAACUGACGCUGAGGCUCGAAAGCGUGGGGAGCGAACAGGAUUAGAUACCCUGGUAGUCCACGCCGUAAACGAUGAGUGCUAGGUGUUGGAUCCUUUCCGGGAUUCAGUGCCGCAGCUAACGCACUAAGCACUCCGCCUGGGGAGUACGACCGCAAGGUUGAAACUCAAAGGAAUUGACGGGGGCCCGCACAAGCGGUGGAGCAUGUGGUUUAAUUCGAAGCAACGCGAAGAACCUUACCAGGUCUUGACAUCCCGAUGCUAUUUCUAGAGAUAGAAAGUUACUUCGGUACAUCGGUGACAGGUGGUGCAUGGUUGUCGUCAGCUCGUGUCGUGAGAUGUUGGGUUAAGUCCCGCAACGAGCGCAACCCCUAUUGUUAGUUGCCAUCAUUCAGUUGGGCACUCUAGCGAGACUGCCGGUAAUAAACCGGAGGAAGGUGGGGAUGACGUCAAAUCAUCAUGCCCCUUAUGACCUGGGCUACACACGUGCUACAAUGGUUGGUACAACGAGUUGCGAGUCGGUGACGGCGAGCUAAUCUCUUAAAGCCAAUCUCAGUUCGGAUUGUAGGCUGCGACUCGCCUACAUGAAGUCGGAAUCGCUAGUAAUCGCGGAUCAGCACGCCGCGGUGAAUACGUUCCCGGGCCUUGUACACACCGCCCGUCACACCACGGGAGUUUGUAACACCCGAAGUCGGUGAGGUAACCUUUUGGAGCCAGCCGCCUAAGGUGGGACAGAUGAUUGGGGUGAAGUCGUAACAAGGUA